CCUACGGGAGGCUGCAGUGGGGAAUAUUGCACAAUGGGCGCAAGCCUGAUGCAGCCAUGCCGCGUGUGUGAAGAAGGCCUUCGGGUUGUAAAGCACUUUCAGCGGGGAGGAAGGCGUUAAGGUUAAUAACCUUGUCGAUUGACGUUACCCGCAGAAGAAGCACCGGCUAACUCCGUGCCAGCAGCCGCGGUAAUACGGAGGGUGCAAGCGUUAAUCGGAAUUACUGGGCGUAAAGCGCACGCAGGCGGUCUGUCAAGUCGGAUGUGAAAUCCCCGGGCUCAACCUGGGAACUGCAUUCGAAACUGGCAGGCUAGAGUCUUGUAGAGGGGGGUAGAAUUCCAGGUGUAGCGGUGAAAUGCGUAGAGAUCUGGAGGAAUACCCGUGGCGAAGGCGGCCCCCUGGACAAAGACUGACGCUCAGGUGCGAAAGCGUGGGGAGCAAACAGGAUUAGAUACCCUUGUAGUC
rnacentral:rRNA from 1 species